GGAAAAGUGCCUGAAUUAAAGGAUCACUUUGAUAGAGCGAAUAAUGAGUGUUAAAACCACUCCUUUUCCU
rnacentral:tRNA from 1 species